rnacentral:rRNA from 1 species
UUCGCCCUUAGAGUUUGAUCCUGGCUCAGAGCGAACGCUGGCGGCAGGCUUAACACAUGCAAGUCGAGCGGGCCCUUCGGGGUCAGCGGCAGACGGGUGAGUAACGCGUGGGAACGUGCCCUUCGGUUCGGAAUAACUCAGGGAAACUUGAGCUAAUACCGGAUACGCCCUUAUGGGGAAAGGAUUGACUGCCGAAGGAUCGGCCCGCGUCUGAUUAGCUAGUUGGUGAGGUUAUGGCUCACCAAGGCGACGAUCAGUAGCUGGUCUGAGAGGAUGAUCAGCCACACUGGGACUGAGACACGGCCCAGACUCCUACGGGAGGCAGCAGAAGGG